CCUACGGGUGGCUGCAGUCGAGGAUCUUCGGCAAUGGGCGAAAGCCUGACCGAGCGACGCCGCGUGUGCGAUGAAGGCCUUCUGGUUGUAAAGCACUGUCGAGGGGGAGCAAGCCGUAAGGUUGAGAGUACCCCUGGAGGAAGCACGGGCUAAGUUCGUGCCAGCAGCCGCGGUAAGACGAACCGUGCGAACGUUAUUCGGAAUCACUGGGCUUAAAGGGCGCGUAGGCGGGUGAAUAAGUCGAGGGUGAAAGCCUCUAGCUUAACUAGAGAAGUGCCCUCGAAACUAUUUGUCUUGAGAGAGAUAGGGGCACACGGAACUUCCGGUGGAGCGGUGAAAUGCGUAGAGAUCGGAAGGAACGCCGGUGGCGAAAGCGGUGUGCUGGAUCUUUUCUGACGCUGAGGCGCGAAAGCUAGGGGAGCGAACGGGAUUAGAUACCCCUGUAGUC
rnacentral:rRNA from 1 species